GAAUAUGAAGCAAUUUUUUUUGCAAUUAGUUUCGACCUAAUUUUAUGAUAUUAAUUUAUCCUUAUUCU
rnacentral:tRNA from 1 species